rnacentral:rRNA from 1 species
GACGAACGCUGGCGGCGUGCUUAACACAUGCGAGUCGGACGGAAAGGCCCUGCUUUUGUGGGGUGCUCGAGUGGCGAACGGGUGAGUAACACGUGAGUAACCUGCCCUUGACUUUGGGAUAACUUCAGGAAACUGGGGCUAAUACCGGAUAGGAGCUCCUGCUGCAUGGUGGGGGUUGGAAAGUUUCGGCGGUUGGGGAUGGACUCGCGGCUUAUCAGCUUGUUGGUGGGGUAGUGGCUUACCAAGGCUUUGACGGGUAGCCGGCCUGAGAGGGUGACCGGCCACAUUGGGACUGAGAUACGGCCCAGACUCCUACGGGAGGCAGCAGUGGGGAAUAUUGCACAAUGGGCGGAAGCCUGAUGCAGCAACGCCGCGUGCGGGAUGACGGCCUUCGGGUUGUAAACCGCUUUCGCCUGUGACGAAGCGUGAGUGACGGUAAUGGGUAAAGAAGCACCGGCUAACUACGUG